UCUUUCUAUUCGUAAGAAUUCAACUGUCAAAGAGUUUUAUGUUUUGUUCUCAGACAAGUAUGAUCUAUCUCGUGUGAAAACAUGGAUCACUGCUGCUUUAAGUGCUAAUGUCCAAGGGCUUCGUGUUUUGUAUGGGACUAUUCGGUAUUCCCUCAUUUGAUUUUCACUUGUGAUACUUUUAACAGAGAUGGAACUCAGACUCCGCAAGUUCAAAAUUCCAACUGAUGCACAUUCCUUGAACCUUCAAACCUUAGAUUUCCCUAAAGUUGAAUUUCAGGAUGAUUACUCUUUGCAAUCUAACCACCACUUGUUUAACUUCCCAUUCCUUGAAGUAUUUGUAUUGUCUAGCUGCAAAUGGUGGAAUGUGAAGCUUCUUACAUCGAAACACCCCGGCUUUCUAGUUUCCAGAAGUCAGACCCCAUUUUUGAAUUUGUGAGCGAUGGAUGAAAUGACUGGAAAAUUGAGAUCUGUAGAACCAGCCUCAAAGAAUCCAAAUGUAGCGCGAAUGAGUCUGCAAAUUUCCAUUUUUCUAGCCAGUCAACAAACGAUGAUGCAUCUGUACAGUACGGGGCUUGCUGCAUACUCAUCUUAUCCCAAGUGGGGAGAUAUGCUGUCAAGCCUGUAUGAUCCUAAAAGGGUUCUCUGCUUUUAUUAGAUUCCUGGAACUAUCUAGUGAUCUUUCCAAGGUAAAGAUCCUUCUUGAUAUGAUUACUUAAAUUUUAGUAGUUCGACUAUCAUGUUGCCUUUAAAAUUGAUCAAAAUUAUCUUUUGUUACUCUCUUUCAUUGUUCACCCAAUUUGAGAUUGUACCUAUGAGUUCUGGGCAGAUUUAGUCUGUGUUAUAAGUACUAGUGGUUUAAAUGGUCUUCCCAUUUCGGUAUGAUUUGUUUCCUUUUUUUUUUGACGUACAUGAUCUUGCUACAACAUAUAAUUUUGAUUUUUUCUCAUGUUGUAUAUCUUGACUAAUUCUAGCUAUAUUCCAUUAUUUCCUAAGGUACUUUCUCAUAGGGAACCACCACGUCCUCUUCCAUUUCUUGAUAAGCUUACCGACCUGAAAUUUACACGGCUAGGAUAGCAGUAGGAAGUGAUGGAGUGGCGAUACACUUUUUGAAAAUGGAAACAGUUUUUCAAUCACUUAUUAUUACUAGGUUGGCUCUUCAAGUUAUAGUUUCACCUGCCCCCAGAAGCUAAGGAAAAACAGGUUUACGGGCUUGCAUAAAUAUGAUGGCAAUUGAGUGUAAUGUUCAAUUUAACUCUUAAGCAUUGUUUUUGUGUAUAUGUUUUGUCAUAUCAGUUUUGUUAAAGCUGGCGAUUUUCAUUUUCUCUUUUGUAACUUUACGACACAGGCUUGUACAGACAAUGCUGCUGACAACUACAAGGGAAUCAAAUUGAUGCCUGGUGGGGUCUUUUGUCUAACUUGCCUCAAGAUAGUGAAAUUGGAAAUUCCUAUUAUCCUAGCACAAUGGAGAAUUCUUUGGUAAAGGUUUUAGAACAGAAUGCGACAGAGUGGAAUGAUUGUAAAUAUACAUGCUGGAUGACGGGCAGAUGAUGAAACAGGUUACAGGUCAGCUGUUCAAGUUUUCCUGAGGCUCAAAUCAUGAUCAAUGGUGCCCUUUUGGAAGUGAUAUUGACCUUACCCAGAGAAUAGUCUAGGAUUUUCAAGUGAACUUCCUUUGGAAAAUGCUAAAGAUUUUUCCUUGAGAUUUCCUAAAUUUCUGUUUUUGUUUAUCCUCAGGUUUGCAAAUAUAUAUAUUUCUUCACUAA
rnacentral:lncRNA from 1 species